GUGGGGAAUAUUGCACAAUGGGCGAAAGCCUGAUGCAGCAACGCCGCGUGAAGGAUGAAGGCCUUUGGGUCGUAAACUUCUGUCCUUGGGGAAGAAAAAAAUGACGGUACCCCUGGAGGAAGUCCCGGCUAACUACGUGCCAGCAGCCGCGGUAAUACGUAGGGGGCGAGCGUUAUCCGGAAUUAUUGGGCGUAAAGAGUACGUAGGUGGUUUUUUAAGCGCAGGGUUUAAGGCGAUGGCUCAACUGUCGUUCGCCCUGUGAACUGGAAGACUUGAGUACAGGAGAGGAAAGCGGAAUUCCUAGUGUAGCGGUGAAAUGCAUAGAUAUUAGGAGGAACACCAGUGGCGAAGGCGGCUUUCUGGACUGUAACUGACACUGAGGUACGAAAGCGUGGGGAGCAAACAGGAUUAGAAACCCUAGUAGUCC
rnacentral:rRNA from 1 species